rnacentral:rRNA from 1 species
GAUGAACGCUGGCGGCGUGCCUAAUACAUGCAAGUCGAGCGAACAGAUAAGGAGCUUGCUCCUUUGACGUUAGCGGCGGACGGGUGGGUAACACGUGGGUAACCUACCUAUAAGACUGGAAUAACUCCGGGAAACCGGGGCUAAUGCCGGAUAACAUUUAGAACCGCAUGGUUCUAAAGUGAAAGAUGGUUUUGCUAUCACUUAUAGAUGGACCCGCGCCGUAUUAGCUAGUUGGUAAGGUAACGGCUUGCCAAGGCAACGAUACGUAGCCGACCUGAGAGGGUGAUCGGCCACACUGGAACUGAGACACGGUCCAGACUCCUACGGGAGGCAGCAGUAGGGAAUCUUCCGCAAUGGGCGAAAGCCUGACGGAGCAACGCCGCGUGAGUGAUGAAGGUCUUCGGAUCGUAAAACUCUGUUAUUAGGGAAGAACAAAUGUGUAAGUAACUGUGCACGUCUUGACGGUACCUAAUCAGAAAGCCACGGCUAACUACGUG